GGGAUGGGCGCAGCCUGAUGCAGCGACGCCGCGUGAGGGAUGACGGCCUUCGGGUUGUAAACCUCUUUCAGUAGGGAAGAAGCGAAAGUGACGGUACCUGCAGAAGAAGCGCCGGCUAACUACGUGCCAGCAGCCGCGGUAAUACGUAGGGCGCAAGCGUUAUCCGGAAUUAUUGGGCGUAAAGAGCUCGUAGGCGGUUUGUCGCGUCUGCCGUGAAAGUCCGGGGCUCAACUCCGGAUCUGCGGUGGGUACGGGCAGACUAGAGUGAUGUAGGGGAGACUGGAAUUCCUGGUGUAGCGGUGAAAUGCGCAGAUAUCAGGAGGAACACCGAUGGCGAAGGCAGGUCUCUGGGCAUUAACUGACGCUGAGGAGCGAAAGCAUGGGGAGCGAACAGGAUUAGAACCCCUGGUAGA
rnacentral:rRNA from 1 species